rnacentral:rRNA from 1 species
CAUUAAGCGGAGGAAAGGAAACUACCAAGGAUUCCCCUAGUAACGGCGAGUGAAGCGGGAACAGCUCAAAUUUUAAAUCUGGCUGCUUCGCAGUCCGAGUUGUAAUUUGAAGGCGUCUGUCGCAUGUGAGACGAUGGCACAAGUCCUCUGGAACGUGGCAUCGUAGAGGGUGAGAAUCCCGUCUCUGGUCGUUGUCUUGCAGGCACACGGCAGGCGAUCCGAAGAGUCGAGUUGUUUGGGAUUGCAGCUCCAAAUGGGUGGUAAACUCCAUCUAAGGCUAAAUAUUGGCGAGAGACCGAUAGCGAACAAGUACCGUGAGGGAAAGAUGAAAAGAACUUUGAAAAGAGAGUAAAACAGUACGUGAAAUUGUUGAAAGGGAAACGCUUGAAGUCAGUCGUGCCGGCGGGGAUUCAGCGAACUUCGCGGAGUGAGCGUAUUUCCUCGCAUGGCAGGUCAGCGUCAGUUUUGCGCGUCGUGAAAGGGCUCGGGUAAGGUGACUCUCUUCGGGGAGUGUUAUAGGCCUGAGCAGAUGCGAUGYGCGGGACUGAGGAUUGCAGCGGACACCCUUCGGGGCGCGGCGACCGAUCCCUGCUCUGUCACCUUCGUCCGAUAGCGUGCUAACGGUCGGGGGARCGGCGGUUGCACCGGGUUGGCAAGCCCGCCGCUUCCCUAAAGAUGCUGGCCUAAUGGCUUUUAACC